rnacentral:rRNA from 1 species
UACAGAGGGGGCAAGCGUUGUUCGGAAUUACUGGGCGUAAAGGGCGCGUAGGCGGCCUGUUAAGUCGAACGUGAAAUCCCCGGGCUCAACCCGGGAACUGCGUCCGAUACUGGCAGGCUUGAAUUCGGGAGAGGGAUGCGGAAUUCCAGGUGUAGCGGUGAAAUGCGUAGAUAUCUGGAGGAACACCGGUGGCGAAGGCGGUUCUCUGGGCCUGUACUGACGCUGAGGAGCGAAAGCGUGGGGAGCAAACAGG